CGGAGAACAAAACCACGUUAUCAGCUCAUUAGGGUUUCUGUCUUUCACAUCCGCCCCAUUUCUUCUCUCUCUCUCUCACCAGGCGAUAACCCUUGAUCGAUGGAUUUCACUGCCGAAUUCACUGGAUCGACGGAUUUCACCUGCGAAUCCACAUCUCAGGGUUUUUUCUCCGGCUAUGACCCUUGAGCGAUGGAUUUCACCGGCGUUUUCAAAUCUCAGGUAACAUCUUUUUUACCUCUCGGCAUUUUUGGUUUGAAAUUUGUCUUGGAUCUGUUAAAUUUUAGGGUUUAUUUCUCCGGCGAUAACCUUAGAGAUAGAUGGAUUUCACCGGCGUUUUCACAUCUCAGAUCUGUAACUAUUUUCUUGCAGAUCUGGUUACUUUCAGAUCCGUACAGCUAUGGAAUCUUACAUAAGGGUGUAAAUGAGAAUUAGGAGAAAACGGUUUGGAGUUGGGGUUAUAUAAAUAUAAUUGGACCUUGGACCCCAAAAUUUGUUUCCAAAAUGUAUAGCUGUGCAGCACAUUGGCGCUUUUGAGCAAUUUUAAAGGAUUUGGGGAAUUUUAUUUCAAAUAUUAUAGCUUUGUAACUUCAUGGACUGCAUAGGCCUUGGAGCUUGUGAAGCACAGCUCUUCAUGAGGAGUGCUUUUUUGGUUUGAUUUAAUUCAUUUUUUGUUAAUCGUUCGUACCGCAUGGAAGUAAAAAUUGUAUACAAGUAGUUAUAAACUAGGAAGCAUUGCUUGUAUCUCUCGGUGAGUUGUGAUUUAUUUUUUGGUUAUGUUAUUUUCUUGCAGUUUUGGGCUAAUCUACUGAGCUGUUUCUUUGGAACUGAAAAUGAGUAGCCGCUUCUCGCGUAUGAUUUACGUUGGAAACCUGCCUUUGGAUAUAAGAGAGAGGGAAGUUGAAGAUCUUUUUUGGUUUGAGUUAAUUCAUUUUUUGUUAAUCGUUCGUACCGCAUGGAAGUAAAAAUUGUAUACAAGUAGUUAUAAACUAGGAAGCAUUGCUUGUAUCUCUCGGUGAGUUGUGAUUUAUUUUUUGGUUAUGUUAUUUUCUUGCAGUUUUGGGCUAAUCUACUGAGCUGUUUCUUUGGAACUGAAAAUGAGUAGCCGCUUCUCGCGUAUGAUUUACGUUGGAAACCUGCCUUUGGAUAUAAGAGAGAGGGAAGUUGAAGAUCUUUUCUAUAAGUAUGGACGCAUAUUGGACAUAGAAUUGAAAAUUCCACCUCGUGCUCCCUGUUAUUGUUUUGUGGAGUUUGCAAAUGCACGAGAUGCUGAAGAUGCCAUUAGGGGCCGUGAUGGCUAUAACUUUGAUGGUUGCCGCCUCAGGGUUGAGCUUGCUCAUGGUGGCCGUGGACAAUCAUCUUCAGGUGAUGGGGCGGAUGGCGCUUUUGAGCAAUUUUAUUUCAAAUAUUAUAGCUUUGGAACUUCAUGGACUGCAUAGGCCUUGGAGCUUGUGAAGCACAGCUCUUCAUGAGGAGUGCUUUUUUGGUUUGAUUUAAUUCAUUUUUUGUUCAGAGAGACAAUGGUGUGGAAACGAGUGGCCGCAAGGUGUGAUAUGAUCAAUCUCAACAACUUCAUAUAAGGAAGCAAAUGCAUGAAACAAUGUACUCUCACAACUGAAAUAGAAAAUGUUCCCUAAAACAUGUGGCGUUGGAAUGCACUCUCCUGUCACACUAAAACAUGUUCUUCCACCAAAAGCGCAGCCUAAACAGUGCACCAAAACAGAACCGUUUCGAUUAGAGGUGUAGCAAGGCAUGAAGAAGUACAAAAGGAAAUGGAAGAAAGCCUAACCCACCUAACCCACCCCAUGGUGUUGUAAGAAGCUCAAUGGCUAAAAGUUUGUUUCAUGACUGAACUCGCCUGAUUUAUUCAAAGCUGAAGGAUACAAGAGGGGAAUCCAGAAACUUGUACAACCAAGAAAGAAUAUGGGGCCCUUUUUCAUGUCUGACCACAGGUGAGCGGGAGGAUAUUUGAGCGCCACAAUUCAAAAUUUAAAUAGUUUUAGGAGGGGGAGAAAACGAGAUAGAGAGAGAAAGAGAGCCAGACCUGCCAAUGCAGAUGCAGACUUGCAGCUUUUGAGUCCUCAUGAAAGAGAAAGACAACUAAUGUAGCAGAAGAAACACAAUCUUUAAGGACAUGAAGAAAAUGUGCUACCAAAACUUGAAAGAAUCAAAUCCAUGUUUACUCGACCUCUAUCAGGGACGGGUUCCUGUCCAGGUGCACAUAUGCAUAGAACCGAUGAGGUUUGGCAUGACGAUGCGUCACAGGAAGCCAUUGAAAACUGGCCUGAUAGGCCUUUUGAUCCGCCAAGAAUGUGCAUUUGGGCGCUGCACGGAUAUGUGUAUGCACGAUUCUUAUAUGUAUUCAAUGUCGGACUGUUUUGUGACGAUGUGAGGAUGAUGAUCAAUUUCAAGCCUUCAACUUAAAUGGACUACUCCAGUUGUAGAAGUGAGUCUGUACAUACAAAAGGCAUCAUAACCGACUCUUAAACAAGAGCUUGAACGGUAUUCAAUGGUGCUGUUGAAGACCAAACUGCAGUCAAGGUACAAAGAGAUUUGCUAGGCUGAACCCCAGAGAUUGCUGGUAUUGGUUGGGAGGUUGUCGGAGGCAUAAUCCCGAGUGUUUGCUUUGGCUGAGAAUGGGUUCACGACCUUUGGGUUGUAGCGAGUUCAAGCCUGAGCGAAUCAUAUAUGGACAUGAUUAUAUGUUUUAGUCUCAUUAGUUAACUGUUUGCUGAAAAAUAGUCAACCUGUGAACACGUGUGACGUAAUUGGUUUUUACUUUUUUUAUGUCAUAAAAAUGUUGAUUUAGAAAAUUUGAAGUGUAAAUGGACCGUGUUCGUGUCAAUUUGUGAUUUUUAUUGCAUUAA